UUCCAAUCGAGCCCGGAGAUAGCUGGUUCUCCCCGAAAUAGCUUUAGGGCUAGCCUCAAGGUGAGAGAUACGGAGGUAGAGCACUGAAUGUCCUAGGGGGGAUUGCACCUACCGAAGACUAUCAAACUCCGAAUGCCGUCAUCUUAUACUUGGGAGUCAGACUGUGGGUGAUAAGAUUCAUAGUCGAAAGGGCAACAGCCCAGAUCGUCAGCUAAGG
rnacentral:rRNA from 1 species